rnacentral:rRNA from 1 species
UACGUAGGGUGCAAGCGUUAAUCGGAAUUACUGGGCGUAAAGCGUGCGCAGGCGGCUUUGCAAGACAGAUGUGAAAUCCCCGGGCUUAACCUGGGAACUGCAUUUGUGACUGCAUGGCUGGAGUGCGGCAGAGGGGGAUGGAAUUCCGCGUGUAGCAGUGAAAUGCGUAGAUAUGCGGAGGAACACCGAUGGCGAAGGCAGCCUCCUGGGCCAAUACUGACGCUCAUGCACGAAAGCGUGGGGAGCAAACAGG